rnacentral:rRNA from 1 species
AACGUAGGGGGCAAGCGUUGUCCGGAAUUAUUGGGCGUAAAGGGCGUGUAGGCGGAGGUGCAAGUCAGGUGUGAAAACCGAAGGCUCAACCUUAGGAUUGCACCUGAAACUGUGUCUCUUGAGGGUAGGAGAGGAAAGUGGAAUUCCCGGUGUAGCGGUGAUAUGCGUAGAUAUCGGGAGGAACACCAGUGGCGAAGGCGGCUUUCUGGCCUAUCCCUGACGCUGAGGCGCGAAAGCGUGGGUAGCAAACAGGAUUAGAUACC